UACGUAGGUGGCAAGCGUUGUCCGGAAUUAUUGGGCGUAAAGCGCGCGCAGGCGGUCUUUUAAGUCUGAUGUGAAAGCCCACGGCUCAACCGUGGAGGGUCAUUGGAAACUGGGAGACUUGAGUGCAGAAGAGAAGAGUGGAAUUCCACGUGUAGCGGUGAAAUGCGUAGAGAUGUGGAGGAACACCAGUGGCGAAGGCGACUCUUUGGUCUGCAACUGACGCUGAGGCGCGAAAGCGUGGGGAGCAAACAGG
rnacentral:rRNA from 1 species